CACAAUAUCUAUAUGUUGUAUAUAGUUUAGACUAAAAUGGCGUCAGCAGACUUUUUCCGAUGGACAGAAUGCAAGAUCGGUUAAAACAAAACAUUUGAAAGCAGGGAUGUAUGAAUAACACGAUAGAAGCUGUAUGACCAAGAGGUAAACAUGAUGGCAGAAAGAAAGUCUUCUUCUUCUACUGAUGCAAAUUCUAGGAAACAACUUGUAGCAGCUAUCAAGAAUGGAGAAUUGUCAAAAAUAGAGAACUUAGUCUCACUUAAGAAAGAUAUACUUAACCAUAAACACCAUAGAACAAAGGAGACCCUCUUGCACGUGGCCAUAAGAUACCACAGAACGGAAUGUGUUGAUAAGAUGAUUUUUCUUGGAGCUUUGACAAACUGUAAAGACAGAAUCGUGA